GCGGGGAGCGGCGAGAUAAAGUAGAUAAAUUAUCCAUCUUCUAACUCCAUCGCCUUUAUGCAAAGGAAACUUGGCUUCAGAGAGUCCCGCGGGUUUGAAAGAGGCUAAGCAAACACACGGGAGAAAAGUUGUAAAGGAAAUCGCACCCUCUUCCCUUUGAUCUCAAGGGGCGCCUCUUGCCACGGUCAUAGCUUCGCCGCCGCCGUUCUCUACGGUUGGGAUCUUACGUGGAGUGGGCGCUCUGCGCGCGACCAUAGAGCCUUUCCCCUCCGGGAAGACCUCCAGGAGUUCGCGGGUCUCCACUCCAAAUCCUCUAAACCGCUGUCGAGUAGUUCUGGCUGUUUGGCGUCUGAGACUGACAAGUUCAGACACACAGGUUGGUAGUUCAGCCUCACGCUGCAAGGGCAAACGCCAGAGUUUCGCAGUGUCUACCGCGCUGCACCACCACCUGUUGCCUCUUAACUCAAAACACACAAAACUUCUGCAAAGAUACACAAAGGGGGGGGGGUGCGAUGCAAACGCCCGUUGCCCGCUAAGCCGCACCGUUACGCCCACGGAAGCCGCACACCACCUCUACUUGGACAAAAACACACGCGACGAGAUAAACAAGUGGCCGUGGGUCAGAUUGGAUGCAUCAGUUAAGGGGAACGUAGAAGGGGCCGCUAAGGUCCGCACUGGCAGGCGGCACCGAAUGAUAAAGACAAAGGACAAGUUACGCUACGAGCUGACACGGCAACCCCGACACACAGCACCCACUCAGAAUCGGGGCAGACACUCACGUGGGCCCGGAGGUUCCAGUCCAGACACCCCGCCCCUCGCCAACGUCCGACUUCCUCUCUCCUCCCAGCUUCCCACAAGGGAAUCCCUUUGUGGGCCCGUGAUGAUCGGAGGUGUCCUGUGCCUGUGUUUUCUUGUGAAUUUGAACACUUAAGUCUGUGAGUACCUGUUGUGCUCUGUGUGUACUCUUUGUAAUCUGUGUUACUCGGGUUUCUUCCUAUCCCUGGUGAGUAUAUCUGCCUUUCAUAUGUUUGUAAAUAUGUUUGUGUCUGUGUAAUCUUUUGCAUCUGUUACUACAAGUGUCUGAAUUUCAGCAUCUCUCUUAUUCGUGGCCAGGUAUGCCUGAGUAUAUCCUAAUGGGUUUGCUACUUUGGGGUGCGGAGGAGAGUGUGUCUGACACUGAGUCUCUGAGUGCCUGUUCCUCACUAGGGAUUUCGGAGAGGCUGCUGUUUGCAUGUCUUUUUGUUUAUAUGGAUGCUCAUUUCUGCCCUCUCUGUAAAGGAAGAACUCCAAGACCCCGCCAAACCUUUCUUUUUACUGAUGGGAAGUUGCCAGGGAGAGGGGGCUACAUGGCAGCUGAGUGGAAACAAGAGGAGACAGAAGUGUGGUUAUAAAGUUUUAUGUGAUCUGAGCCCCUCUGGAAGUGCCAGAGUCCACACCUCUGUACAGGGGGCUUGAGGGACUGGCUCAGGGCGGGGGCAGCAUGGCCCAAAAGGAGGGAAAUUGCCCCCUGGGGAAAGGAGGCAUCCCUAAUGCAUUAUUGCACAGGCUUAAGGGGAGGAGGAAGCAGAGGUGGCUCAGAAGGGGAGAGUCAAACAGAAGAAUCUAUAAAAUUAGAACCUUGGAAUCAUCCCUUGGAAUUCUAGACCUAUAGACCUUUAGAAUCUGACAGUAUUUGAAUCUUAGAACUACAAUGCCUAGGAUCUUAAGACUUAGAACUGUAGAUUCUUGGACCCUUAACUAAAAUCCUAGGCAGGUGGAAUGCCACAUAGAAACUAAAUAUAUCCAACACUGGAAAUGAUUAGAACUUUGGUAUCUAGCUAGUCACAACUAACUGUAGUCUUAUACCUUAGAUGCUAAGGAUCCAGAAUCUUGGACCGAUAGAGUCUAGAGUGUCUUGGAACAUAGAACAGAACAACAUUAGAAUCUUAGAGUUUAAUAAUCUAGAAUCUUGAAGCAUAUGGUCUAGAAUCUUAGACACAGAAUCUAGGUUCUUAGACUAAGUCUUAGAACACCACAUCUUAGAACAUUAGACCUCUGGGCCUCCAUCUUUAGACUCUUAGAACUUUUGAAUGGCAGAUUUUAGAAUCUUAAAUCUUUAGCAUCCAGAAUCUCAUAAUAAGAGUUUCAAGGAUCAUAAAGCCUUAGAACUUAUAAUUAACCAUUAUUAGAAUCUUAGAACUUGAGAAGACAAAAAUCUAGAAGCCUUACGAUAUAGAGUCUUACAGCCAGAGGAUUUACAGUCUAAGAGGCUUAGAACAUCAAAUUUUAAAACAUUAGGCCUUAGAAUCUCCAUGUCUAGAAUUGCAGAAUCUAGAAUCUUAUACUCUGAGGACUCUGAACCCUAGAAAAACAAAAUCUAGAAUCAUAGAGCCUUGGGUCUUAGAACUAGAAUCUUAGAGCUUCAGAACUUAAAAUCUUGUGGGCUUUAUCAAGAAUCCUGGAAUCAAAAAAAAAAAAAAAAAAAGAAUCCUGGAAUCAGAAAAAUCUAGAGCCAUGGACUCUUA